GACGAACGCUGGCGGCGUGCUUAACACAUGCAAGUCGAACGGAAAGGCCCUGCUUUUGGGGGGUGCUCGAGUGGCGAACGAGUGAGUAACACGUGAGUAACCUGCCCUUGACUUUGGGAUAACUUAAGGAAACUGGGUCUAAUAUUGGAGAGGAGUUCCUGCUGCAUGGUGGGGGUUGGAAAGAUUCGGCGGUUGGGGAUGGACUCGCGGCUUAUCAGCUUGUUGGCGGGGUAGUGGCUUACCAAGGCCUGGACGGGUAGCCGGCCUGAGAGGGUGACCGGCCCCAUUGGGACUGAGGUACGGGCCAGACUCCUACGGGAGGCAGCAGUGGGGAAUAUUGCACAAUGGGCGGAAGCCUGAUGCAGCAACGCCGCGUGCGGGAUGACGGCCUUCGGGUUGUAAACCGCUUUCGCCUGUGACGAAGCGUGAGUGACGGUAAUGGGUAAAGAAGCACCGGCUAACUACGUG
rnacentral:rRNA from 1 species